rnacentral:rRNA from 1 species
GAUGAACGCUGGCGGCGUGCCUAAUACAUGCAAGUCGAGCGAAAAGAUGAGGAGUUUGCUCUUUUGUCGUUUGCGGCGGAGGGGUGGGAAACAUGUGGAUACCUCACUUAUAAUAUUGGGAUAACUAGGGGAAUCCGGAGCAAAUCCGGGAUAAGAUAUUGAUCCGUAGGGUUAAUUGGUAAAAGACGGUUUUUCGUUAUUUAUUGGUUGGUUCGCCGCCGCUUUAUCUGUUUGUUAAGUUAACGGCUUUCCAAGGGAAGGAUGCGUACCAGACCGGAGAGGAGGAUCGGCCACACUGGAACUGAGACCCGGUCCAGACUCCUACGGGAGGCAGCAGUAGGGAAUCUUCCGCAAUGGGCGAAAGCCUGACGCAACAACGGCGCGUGAGUGAUGAAGGUCUUCGGCUCGUAAAACUCUGUUAUUAGGGAAGAACAAAUGUGUAAGUAAAUAUACACGUCUUGACGGUACCUAAUCAGAAAGCCACGGCUAACUACGUG